UAUCUCUCCGUACGGGGAAGGAUGAGAAGCUUCGACUAAGGUUCGAUUCGAGCGCAGCGAGAAAGCGUUGCCGCAGGCAACGACCCGAAGGGCGAA
rnacentral:sRNA from 1 species